CCCAGGGACGGAGCUUUGCUGGGAGGGACUUUUUUCCUUCCCCUGUACCGUUUUCAGCUGCCAAAGAAAACGGGACGUGUUCGGGGAGUUCCCAAAAUAGCCGAGAGCAAGCUCCCGUGAGCCAUGGCCUACCACAGCUUCCUGCUGGAGCCCAUCAGCUGCCAUGCCUGGAACAAAGACCGGACCCAGAUCGCCCUGUGCCCCAACAACCACGAGGUUCACAUUUACCGCAAGGACGGGGCCAAGUGGAGCAAAAUCCACGAGCUGAAGGAGCACAACGGGCAGGUGACGGGUGAG